UCUUUACAAAAUUGGGAGGACGGCGAUUGCCCAGGUACAGUGGGUUCGUCCACGAUGUCGACGACGACGAAGAAGAAGAACACCGCAUCCAUCCAGAAACUUUCUCGUUUCCUAUGACGACCAUCUUGACAUGGUUCCAUCUUCAGAUGGAUGCGUGACGUAGCUUUGGUCGCACCCGAGAUUUCUGCCCUGAACAAAUUGAGCUUCCGUAUCAGCUUUGUGACAGCUUGAGCACCUUCACAAACAGCCCCCGUGUGCACCAUAGAACCAUUCGUUGAGUCUCUCUCUUUCUUCCCCCCUUCUUUCUUUCACUCUACUUUUCUUACUUUCUUUCAGGUGAUGCAAGGUUUAAAAAGGCCAACUACUUGACGAGGAGUUCGGCAAGAGAAAACGCGACGGAAAGGCGGUUUGCUGAGAUCGAUGGACGGAAUCCUCACAUGUGCGCGGCACAAGGCGAAAAUUCCCUCCCAAUGACAGCUACGUCAAACGCCCUCUCCGCUCCGUUACAUUUGCAUUGUUCAUCGUCUACAGUGACAUUCGUGAGCAAAAAAACAGGAAUCGGCGAUGCGCUUGAAGACGAAGUCAGCUUGCAGUGCCAAUACUACCACCAUGCUUACAGAUUUCUGCAUAAUCUUCAAGCAUGUCACUCAAUUUGGGACAACACAUGGAGCGAGCAUGGCAUGAAACCUCAAGUUUAUUGCCAUUGCGAAACAGUGAGCAUUGGAGGCGUCAGAAACCUUACGUGAAGAGGCUUGGAAUUAGGGUUUCCAGAAGCACAUUGUAGUUUCCAACUGUGGAUAUAUUUUUGUGUGGGUUGUGGUCAGUGAUACUGUUCUGUUGCCAGAAUAUGCACUUGCUCAGAGUGUGUUAAGUAGUGAAGGUGAAUAUGAGCUUUGAUGGAAAAUGGGCUUUGAAAGUGGCUCUUGAUUCGGUACAUCAAGACAUCUUUUGUACUUCUCGUACAUAUUGUUCAAUUAGUGCAAUUGACAUUGUUCACA